GUGUUGAAGUUUUUAAGGGCGCACGGUGGAUGCCUUGGCAUCAAGAGCCGAUGAAGGACGUGGGAAUCUGCGAUAAGCCUGGUGGAGUCGAUAACCGGACGUUGAGACCAGGAUUUCCGAAUGGGGGAACCCCGCACCAUGUUAUGUGGUGUGACCUGCAGCUGAAUGUAUAGGCUGUGUGGAGGGAACGCGGGGAAGUGAAACAUCUCAGUACCCGCAGGAAGAGAAAACAACAGUGAUUCCGUUAGUAGUGGCGAGCGAACGCGGAUGGGGCUAAACCGGUUGGUGUGUGAUAGCGGAUAGGCGUUGCAUCACCGGGGUUGUGGGGUCGGCAUGUACCAGCGCUAUCUUGCUGGUGGGAUGAGGUGCAGGCGUAUAGGUGAAUCGGUUGGAAUGCCGGACCAUAGAGGGUGAUAGUCCCGUAGGUGUAAUGCGUGUCUGCCGUUCUAGUGUUGAUACCCGAGUAGCACGGGGCCCGUGAAACCUUGUGUGAAUCUGCCAGGACCACCUGGUAAGCCUGAAUACUACUUGAUGACCGAUAGUGAAUCAGUACCGUGAGGGAAUGGUGAAAAGUACCCCGGGAGGGGAGUGAAAUAGUACCUGAAACCGUGCGCUUACAAUCCGUUAGAGCUGGGGACUUGUUCCCUGGUGAUGGCGUGCCUUUUGAAGAAUGAGCCUGCGAGUUAGUGUUACGUCGCGAGGUUAACCCGUGUGGGGAAGCCGUAGCGAAAGCGAGUCUGAAUAGGGCGUUUGAGUGGCGUGAUCUAGACCCGAAGCGAAGUGAUCUACCCAUGGCCAGGUUGAAGCGCGUGUAAGAGCGUGUGGAGGACCGAACCCACUUCAGUUGAAAAUGGAGGGGAUGAGCUGUGGGUAGGGGUGAAAGGCCAAUCAAACUUCGUGAUAGCUGGUUCUCCCCGAAAUGCAUUUAGGUGCAGCGUUGCGUGUUUCUUGCUGGAGGUAGAGCUACUGGAUAGGCGAUGGGCCCUACAAGGUUACUGACCUUAGCCAAACUCCGAAUGCCGGCAAGUGAGAGCGCAGCAGUGAGACUGUGGGGGAUAAGCUUCAUAGUCGAGAGGGAAACAGCCCAGAACGCCAACUAAGGCCCCUAAGCGUGUGCUAAGUGGAAAAGGAUGUGGAGUUGCUGUGACAACCAGGAGGUUGGCUUAGAAGCAGCCACCCUUGAAAGAGUGCGUAAUAGCUCACUGGUCAAGUGAUUCCGCGCCGAUAAUGUAGCGGGGCUCAAGCACACCGCCGAAGUUGCGUCAUUCAAAUAUUAACCUGGUUUCGAUUGGGUGUUUGGAUGGGUAGGGGAGCGUCGUGUGGACGGUGAAGUCGCGGUGUAAACCAGCGGUGGAGGCCACACGAGUGAGAAUGCAGGCAUGAGUAGCGAAUGACGGGUGAGAAACCCGUCCGCCGAAUGAUCAAGGGUUCCAGGGUUAAGCUAAUCUGCCCUGGGUUAGUCGGGACCUAAGGCGAGGCCGACAGGCGUAGUCGAUGGACAACGGGUUGAUAUUCCCGUACCGGCGAAGGACCGCCCAUACUGAGCUGUGGAUGCUAACCAUGAUUGACGCUAGCUGUUGGUGCCUUCGGGUAUCUUGCUGGUUGAUGUGGUGGGAACCGAUGCAGUGAGGUCAGCGUAUUAACAGGUGUGACGCAGGAAGGUAGCCGAGCCAGGCAAUGGAAUUGACCUGGUCCAAGGGUGUAGGAAGAGUGGUUGGCAAAUCCGCCGCUCAUAUAUUCUGAGACCUGAUAGGCGCCCCGUUUUCGGGGUGAUUCGGUGAUCCUAUGCUGCCUAGAAAAGCAUCGGCGCGAGGUCCAAGUCCGCCCGUACCCCAAACCGACACAGGUGAUCAGGUAGAGAAUACUAAGGCGAUCGAGAGAAUCAUGGUUAAGGAACUCGGCAAAAUGCCCCCGUAACUUCGGAAGAAGGGGGGCCUGCCCCGUGAUGAGAACUUGCUUCUCUGAUGCGGGUGUGGGCCGCAGAGACCAGGGGGAAGCGACUGUUUACUAAAAACACAGGUCCGUGCGAAGUCGCAAGACGAUGUAUACGGACUGACUCCUGCCCGGUGCUGGAAGGUUAAGAGGACUGGUUAGCAGUAAUGCGAAGCUGAGAAUUUAAGCCCCAGUAAACGGCGGUGGUAACUAUAACCAUCCUAAGGUAGCGAAAUUCCUUGUCGGGUAAGUUCCGACCUGCACGAAUGGAGUAACGACUUCCCCGCUGUCUCAACCAUGAACUCGGCGAAAUUGCAGUACGAGUAAAGAUGCUCGUUACGCGCAGCAGGACGGA
rnacentral:rRNA from 1 species